rnacentral:rRNA from 1 species
AGCGAACGCUGGCGGCAGGCCUAACACAUGCAAGUCGAACGAAGUCUUCGGACUUAGUGGCGGACGGGUGAGUAACACGUGGGAACGUGCGCUUUGGUACGGAAUAACUCAGGGAAACUUGAGCUAAUACCGUAUGUGCCCUUCGGGGGAAAGAUUUAUCGCCAUUGGAGCGGCCCGCGUCUGGUUAGCUAGUUGGUGAGGUAAAGGCUCACCAAGGCUACGAUCAGUAGCUGGUCUGUGAGGAUGAUCAGCCACAUUGGGACUGAGACACGGCCAAAACUCCUACGGGAGGCAGCAGUGGGGAAUCUUGCGCAAUGGGCGAAAGCCUGACGCAGCCAUGCCGCGUGAAUGAUGAAGGUCUUAGGAUUGUAAAAUUCUUUCACCGGGGACGAUAAUGACGGUACCCGGAGAAGAAGCCCCGGCUAACUUCGUGCCAGCAGCCGCCGUAACAC